UACGAAGGGUGCAAGCGUUACUCGGAAUUACUGGGCGUAAAGGGCGCGUAGGCGGCUAGGCAAGUCAGGUGUGAAAGCCCCGAGCUUAACUCGGGAAUUGCAUCUGAAACUGCUGUGCUUGAGUUCUGGAGGGGGUAGUGGAAUUCCCAGUGUAGCGGUGAAAUGCGUAGAUAUUGGGAGGAACACCUGCGGCGAAGGCGGCUACCUGGACAGAAACUGACGCUGAGGCGGCGAAAGCUAGGGGAGCGAACGGG
rnacentral:rRNA from 1 species